rnacentral:rRNA from 1 species
AGAGUUUGAUUAUGGCUACAGGACGAACGCUGGCGGUAUGCUUAACACAUGCAAGUCGAACGAGACGAGAUGGAAGGAUCCUUCGGGUGACGGAAAUCUUAGAAAGUGGCGAACGGGUGAGUAACGCGUGGGUAACCUGCCCUAUGGAAAGGAAUAGCCUCGGGAAACUGGGAGUAAUGCCUUAUAAUAUAUGUUUGUCGCAUGGCAGAUAUAUUAAACGCUCCGGUGCCAUAGGAUGGACCCGCGUCCCAUUAGCUAGUUGGUGAGAUAACAGCCCACCAAGGCGACGAUGGGUAACCGGUCUGAGAGGGCGAACGGUCACACUGGAACUGAGACACGGUCCAGACUCCUACGGGAGGCAGCAGGUGGGGAAUUAUUGCGCAAGUGGGGGACCCAACCCUGACGCAGCAAUACCGCGUGAGUGAAGUAAGGUUUUCGGAUACGUAAAGCUCUGUUAGUUGGGGAAAGAAAAAAGACGGUACCCAAGAAGAAAGUCCCGGCUAACUACGUGCCAGCAGCUGC